UAUAUAUAUAGCUACCGCAUAAUCAUUAUGUAAUCAAGAAUGUCUGCAGUUGUUUCUUCUUAUAAAACGGCCCCUUGGUCUGGUUGGUGUGUCUAAGGAGAAGAAAAGGCCGACAGGGAUCGCUUCUCUGUCCUUUCCAAACCCAGUAUUUUUAAGCACUUAUCGUUUGCUUAUAAUUUUUUGUCUAAUUGUAAAGAAGCAGCAGAAGGUGAUUUUUAAAUUUUUUAAUGUUAUGUCGGGUGACUACCUUUCUGAGCACUUCGGAGUAUGCAUGACAUCUCUCUAUUUUAUGACUCGACAAGACAGAUCGGCAGAGGCGGCACUGGCACAGUACAACUAACAAAUAAACAAAAGCUUACUCUACAGUCUUGAGUUCAGCCCGUCCAGAUGUAGGUAGCGACUCAGGAGCAGCACAGCGAUGGUUGCCAAGGUGCCCAGAUAGUCAUUUAACCCUCAUUGGUGGAGAGACACACAAGCUGAAGGGCAAAUUCAUUUUUUCAAACUGGGUUCUUUCCAUUCUCAAUAUCUCCCCUGUCGUAUAGCAGAUAAAUACCGAUUUUUAGAGGGAUUUCUGUAAUCUGCAAAUGCCAGCCAUGCUCUUUCAUUUCAGUAAGAAGACUGCAUUCUGCUGUUGGGUGUGAUUUAGGCUAAUUGAGAGAAACAACGAUAAUGACUUCUAUUGGAAACUGAAUAGAGCAAGUUACACCACUAAGGUCAAUAGCAGGAAUGGCUGGACUUCAAAACUCUAAUCUCGUUAGUUUCUCACUGCAGUCCACCAUGAAAUCGAGGCAGAAUAAUACAAGUAGUGCAUAUACGAUCUGAAAAGGUCAUCCUAUAGGGAGACCUUCCUCCACCACACAAGAGCGCUCUCUCAGUCAGUUCUCAGGGCCAUAGCAUGUUUGGAUGUCGAUGAGCAUGCAUUCCAUGGCACUGACUUCCAACAGACGCCCUGAGAGUACCACAGGAAUGGUUAUCACAACAAUUAGACUGACAGCUCUUUUCUAAACCAAUCUUGAUUUAUUUUGUUUUCCUAAGAUUAAUGUCCGGCCUGUACAGUAAAGUUGGCUUUGGUUUGCAGUAUAAAAUGGGGCAAUCUCUCUCCCUCUCUCAUAAACACACACACUGCUAGCAUGGAUU
rnacentral:lncRNA from 13 species